AACGCGAAGAACCUUACCAGGGUUUGACAUGCACGUGCACCAGCCAGAGAUGGUUGUCCCUUCGGGGCGCGUGCACAGGUGCUGCAUGGCUGUCGUCAGCUCGUGCCGUGAGGUGUUGGGUUAAGUCCCGCAACGAGCGCAACCCUUGUCCUGUGUUGGCAUGCCGCAAGGCGCAACUCGCAGGAGACCGCCAGCGAUAAGCUGGAGGAAGGUGGGGAUGACGUCAAGUCAUCAUGGCCUUUAUGUCCAGGGCCACACACGUGCUACAAUGGGCGGUACAAAGCGCUGCCAACCCGCGAGGGGGAGCUAAUCGCCAAAAACCGUCCUCAGUUCGGAUCGCAGGCUGCAACUCGCCUGCGUGAAGCUGGAAUCGCUAGUAAUGCUAUAUCAGAACGAUAGCGUGAAUACGUUCCCGGGCCUUGUACACACCGGUACUA
rnacentral:rRNA from 1 species